AAGGAUCAUUAUUGAAAUAAACCUGAUGAGUUGCUGCUGGUUCUCCAGGGAACAUGUGCACACUUGUCAUUUUUAUAUUUCCACCUGUGCACCUUUUGUAGACUUGGAUAUCUUUCUGAAUGCUUUUUGUAGCAUGUCAGGUUUGAGGAUUGACUUUAUUGUCUGUCUUUACAUUUCCAGGUCUAUGUUCUUUCAAUAUACCCCUAAUGUAUGUUAUAGAAUGUAGUAAGUGGGCCUNUGUGCCUAUAAACCUUAUACAACUUUCAGCAACGGAUCUCUUGGCUCUCGCAUCGAUGAAGAACGCAGCGAAAUGCGAUAAGUAAUGUGAAUUGCAGAAUUCAGUGAAUCAUCGAAUCUUUGAACGCACCUUGCGCUCCUUGGUAUUCCGAGGAGCAUGCCUGUUUGAGUGUCAUUAAUAUAUCAACUUCUUCAGCUUUUGCUUGUUGAGUGUUGGAUGUGGGGGUUUUGCUGGCCUUUGUAAAGGUCAGCUCCCCUGAAAUGCAUUAGCGGAACANUUUGUUGACUGUUCAUUGGUGUGAUAAUUAUCUGCGCUAUUGAACUGUGAGGCAAGUUCAGCUUCUAAUAGUCCAUUGACUUGGACAAAUUUUUUUCAUUUAAUGUGACCUCAAAUCAGGUAGGACUACCCGCUGAACUUAA
rnacentral:rRNA from 1 species